UGGGGGAUAUUGCACAAUGGGCGAAAGCCUGAUGCAGCGACGCCGCGUGGGGGAUGAAGGCUUUCGGGUUGUAAACCUCUUUCGCUAUCGAACAAGGCCCGCUUAGGGCGGGUUGAGGGUAGGUGGAGAAGAAGCGCCGGCUAACUACGUGCCCGCAGCCGCGGUAAUACGUAGGGCGCGAGCGUUGUCCGGAAUUAUUGGGCGUAAAGGGCUUGUAGGCGGCUUGUUGCGCCUGCUGUGAAAACGUGGGCUUAACUUCGCGCGUGCAGUGGGUACGGGCAGGCUUGAGUGUGGUAGGGGUGACUGGAAUUCCAGGUGUAGCGGUGGAAUGCGCAGAUAUCUGGAGGAACACCGAUGGCGAAGGCAGGUCACUGGGCCAUUACUGACGCUGAGGAGCGAAAGCAUGGGUAGCGAACAGG
rnacentral:rRNA from 1 species